rnacentral:rRNA from 1 species
GGCGGCGUGCUUAACACAUGCAAGUCGAACGAGAAAUCUUUAGCUUGCUAGAGAAAGUAAAGUGGCGCACGGGUGAGUAACGCGUGGGUAAUCUGCCUCCGAAUCGGGGAUAACAUUGCGAGAGCGAUGCUAAUACCGGAUAAAAUCUGGUUGGCUUCGGUGAACCGGAUCAAAGGUGGUCUCUUUAUAAAAGCUACCGUUUGGAGAUGAGCUCGCGUACCAUUAGCUAGUUGGUGAGGUAAAGGCUCACCAAGGCGACGAUGGUUAGCUGGUCUGAGAGGAUGAUCAGCCACACCGGAACUGGAACACGGUCCGGACUCCUACGGGAGGCAGCAGUGAGGAAUUUUGCGCAAUGGGGGAAACCCUGACGCAGCAACGCCGCGUGAGUGAUGAAGGCUUUCGGGUCGUAAAGCUCUGUCAGGUGGGAAGAACCCACCAAGUGUUAAGACCACUUGGUGCUGACGGUACCACCGAAGGAAGCACCGGCUAACUCCGUGCCAGCAGCCGCGGUAAUACGGGGGGUGCGAGCGUUAUUCGGAAUCAUUGGGCGUAAAGGGCGCGCAGGCGGUUUUGUAAGUCAGAUGUGAAAUCCCGGGGCUUAACCCCGGAAGUGCAUAUGAAACUAUGAGACUUGAGUAUGGGAGAGGGAAGCGGAAUUCCUGGUGUAGCGGUGAAAUGCGUAGAUAUCAGGAGGAACACCGGUGGCGAAGGCGGCUUCCUGGACCAAUACUGACGCUGAGGCGCGAAGGCGUGGGGAGCGAACAGGAUUAGAUACCCUGGUAGUCCACGCAGUAAAACCGUUGAUCACUAGGUGUAGCGGGUAUUGACCCCUGCUGUGCCGGAGUUAACGCAUUAAGUGAUCCGGCUGGGGA